rnacentral:piRNA from 2 species
UGAAGGUGUUCCUGGAGAACGUGAUUC